rnacentral:rRNA from 1 species
UAAUGGCAGGUCAGCAUACUGCCGUGAAUACGUUCCCGGGCCUUGUACACACCGCCCGUCACACCAUGAGAGUUGGGAAUACCCGAAGCCUGUGAGCUAACGUUAAGAGGCAGCAGUCGAAGGUAGAAUCAAUGAUUGGGGUGAAGUCGUAACAAGGUAGC